UGCUGUGCACAGGAGUGGCGUCUGGUGUGCUCCUUUAUGUCUUCAUGGAUGGGUGACCAGUGAUCUCGGGAGCGUAACUACUGAUCCAGUUGGCCUUGGAUGUGAAGUAUCCUCUCAGAGCAUUUUUAUGAGAAGGGAAGGAAGACAGGUGUGACUAGGAGUCUAUGAGGAUUCUGGGAAAUGUAGUGAAGGGAGUCGUCGCCCUGGAGGAGAGAACGCAAGCCUGGCUGUUCUUGGAAAGCUGGAGAGGACACUUCUGUCAAUGCCACCCGAGGAGCAGGCCAGAUGGACACAGUGCAUCUGCUGUCGGGAGGCAAAGCAUGAACAGGAGGUGCAGAAACGGCCGCGCAGCUGAAAGCACUGGCUUCUUUCACAGACCGGGCCUCGGUUUCCAGUACCCACAGGGUUAGAUCACAACUACCGUGAAGUCGCAUCUUCUGGCCACUAUUGGGUACUGGCUGCGCGAAGUCCACAUAAACUCACUCGGGUAUUCACACACAGUGUCGAAAGGAUCCCAAAUCGGCUUGACAAAGACGUUUGGGCUGAAGUAGGGAUGGUGCAGGUGACAUUCCUACUUUACCCAUUGGAACCACAAAACCGCCUAAAGCCCAGUGUCACGACUACCUCGACCAGCAAGGAAGACACGACUCAGGAAUCCUUCUCAUCAGCGGUUUAUUCAGGAACCUUGAGACAGCGUGGAGGCAGCCACGGGAAAAACCCCUCCUGCUCCCUAAAUAGCCGAGGCCAGCCAACCCUGAGCAGCCACGUGUGUGCAAGCCAUAGGCUCACCAGAAUGCAUAAGCAAUCUGAUGAUGAUGGCGUGACCCCGGCGGGAUGGUAGCAGGCCAAAUAAGGAGUUGUUUAUUACCGAGCGCACUCACCGUCGGGAUGGUGGAAUGUGGAAGCCUGCACCAUCUUUGAGGCGCGGUGUGGCGCAGCUCUCCACAGUUCCCCCUUUUUGUUUUUAUAUAACAAAGGUGGGUGAAGAUAGAGGCCCGAUCUCUGGUGUGCAAAGCUGGGAUAAUGUACAGGGGACACCUACAGACUCUACGCCUGUGGUGACCCUGACCCAUCCUGUACCUGUUUUCCCAGGGGAAGGAUCUUGGGUACAACCUUCAUGCAAUCGGGCUUGUCUUCCGAGGGUAGCUUAACUGCUUACAAGCAAACCCUCGUGCAGUGCUUAGCCUUGCACCCCGACCGGAGAAAAUUAGUUUUUAAAGGUAGCCAGCCAGGCUGAGGGGGACUAACCUUCUUCAAUAGCAGCAAACGCUUGCAUGACCAUCAUUGCAUUACGGUGCUGAUUAGACUGAGCAUUACAGAAGCACUACAGGCAUACCAGGGAGGCUGUGGCCAUCAGGCCAAGUAGGGACCCUAUCCCCGCCCACUCCUUUAAGUGUUCCAUGGUGGCCCUGAUCCAGGAGGACAAUCCUUCUGCGAUGCUGGAAUUGACGUGGGUGGAGUUCACUGUCACUAUGGCUGUGCGCAGUUGGUCAAGUUCCUUUUCAAAUUCCCCUGACCAAUUACCUAGAAGAUAACUGGAAAGUUUAGACAAAUUAGCAGCAUGUAUAUAAUUUUCAAACUGUACGCUGGUAAAACAAAGACUGGGAUAUUUAAAAGACCCUUAUUCUUCCCUACCAUAUCUGGGGAAAAGGUGAAUAGUUUAUCUUCAUUUGUCCAAUUCACUUGUCCAGGGCCAGGCCUCCCCCUCAAAGUGGCCCCAGCAUCGGGGUGCCCACCUUGGUUGAGUAGGAGGGGUAUCAUUACUCCUCUUUGCUACUACUGGCCAUGAACCAUUAAUCCAGGCCACAUUGGUAGAGUAAUUUGUGAUAAGAUGCAUCUGGCAGGUGGUGGAAUUACAACUUUGACUCUGUCCGGAUUGAUAUUUAUCUUUAUCAAAAAACCAUCCUGCAGUAUGGCAGGCUAACUUAAUGCAGGAGCUGUUGGUCAAAAUGUAAAACACAAACUUUCCUUUUCAGGAAAAGUCCGGUUUUCCCCUAUAGGGGAUGCCUGGGUAUCUAAAGGAAGGGAGGGCAGGUUAAGCUUGCUUGAGGUGGUAAACAACCAAGGGAAAACUUGCGCAUUAUGGCGGACCAGCAUCGGCAUUGGAAAGGUCGAUAGAAUCCCCCAGCGAGGCUCCGCCACCUCCAUUGUCAUUAUCAUCAUUAUCAUUGGAAGGCAUGGGGUGAGUGGCCUGAGUGGCAUUUGCAUCAUUUGGAUCCAGCGGCGUCUGCGCCUUCCUCACCAGUCGUUCUGGAACCCACACGGGGUCUUGUUGGUCCUGUGGAAAAACACAAACAGAACCUCGUGCCCAAGUCAGCACGGGAUCAGGCCCAUGCCAUGUGCCUGUCAAGAUGUCCUUCCAUUUUACCAAGCCUUUGCUUGGACCAUGGGGGUCUUGAUGCCUGUCAGCUGCAGAGCGACCUUGAGCAUCCAAAUUUAAAAAAUUUAUAGUAAAGAGGGCGAGAGAAAGCCUCUCUUUUGGGGUGCGGCCAUAGCCUAUUCCCCCUUUUUGUUUAUUUAGACAUUCUUUUAGAGUGCAAUGGACACGUUCUACUAUGCCCUGACCUUGUGGGUUAUAUGGCAAUCCAUGAUGCAGUUGAACCUCCAUUUGUUUGCAAAAGGAGGCAAAGGACUGAGUUGUAUAAGCUGGCCCAUUAUCAGUUUUCAGCUGCCUGGGUUUUCCCCAGGCUGCCCAAGCCUCCAGGCAAUGGGUGACAACAUUGCGAGCCUUUUCGCCUGAUAGAGGGGUGGCAUGGAUAAUUCCAGAGCAGGUAUCAACAGAUACAUGGACAUAUUUUAGACUGCCAAAUUCAGCAACAUGAGUAACAUCCAUUUGCCAAACCUUUAAGGGGAGCAAUCCUCUAGGAUUUACUCCGAGACAGGGCAGAUGAUGAUGGACGGCACAUUGAGUACAAUCCAAGAUGACUUGUCGUGCAUCAGCCCAGGAGAGAUGAAACUUCUGUUGUAAGGUUUUGGCAUUUACAUGAAAAUUUUUAUGAAAAUCUCUGGCUCUAUCCAGGGUGGAACAAAGGAAUAUAUACUCCAUUCUGGUCCAUUGAUCAACUUUAUUAUUGCCCUCACUUAUGGGGCCCGGGAGGCCCGUAUGUGCUCUGACAUGCUGUAUGAAAAAACAACACUUUCGAUGCCAGAUCAAAAUUUGAAGCCUUUGAAACAGGGUGCAGACCGGACUGCUGGACCUAAUAGGGCCAGCAGCUUCCAGUACCUUUAUAGCAUUAACCACAUAGGCAGAAUCCGAAAGAAGAUUAAAGGCAAAAGAACAAUUUUCAAAAACCUUAACAACAAUCUCUAGUUCUACUACUUGGGGAGAGCCGGGUUGAAACUGUAUCUGAACGGGUUCCGAAGAGCCCACCAUAUAGGUACCACAUCCUGUUUUUGAGCCAUCUGUGAACACAUUGGGGGCACCUGGGACUGGAGCAUUGGAAGUUAUUUUUGGAAAGACUACCGGGUGCUCCUUAAAAAAUCCUAUUAAUGGAUGUUUUGGAUAAUGAUUAUCUAUAUCCCCUUUAAACCCACACCUUAAAAUGGCCCAAUCAUCAAUAGUGGUGCAAAGGACAUAAAUUUGAUCAUUGGUGUAGGGCACAAUGAUCACUUUUGGGGCUAUGCCAAAAUGUUGUAAGCAUUGUUGGAUGCCAUUUUGAGCCAAUCUAGCCACCACGGUGGGAUAAUACUCAAUAGAUUUAGCAGGGGAUAUGCUUGGAUAAAUCCACAAUAAAGGUCCAUCCUGCCAAAGCAGGCCCGUAGGCUGAUAAUAUGUGGGAAGUAUACAUACAAAGACGGGUUGUCCCUCCUUGCAUCUUUGUAGGAAGGCAUCUUGUAGUCUCUCUUCCACCCUACGUAGGGCGAGCCUUGCUUCAGGGGUUAACUGUCUGGGGGAAUCCAAGGCUGGAUCUCCAUUUAAGAGAUCAUUCAAGGACUUUAAAUCAUAAUUAGGGAACUUAAUAAAACACCUAAUCCAUUUUAUUUCUCCUAGCAACUUUUGAAAAUCAUUUAAGGUUUUUAAAUUAUCUUUUCUUAACUCGAAUUUUUGUGGAAUAAUAUGAUCUCCGAUAACCUUUGUGCCCAAAUAAUUCACCAUUUUUCCUUUUUGAAUCUGUUCGGGAGCCACAAGCAAUCCCUUAUUCUCCAAUAAAAACAUUAAUCUAAUAAA